UACGAAGGGGGCUAGCGUUGCUCGGAAUCACUGGGCGUAAAGGGUGCGUAGGCGGGGCUUUAAGUCAGGGGUGAAAUCCUGGAGCUCAACUCCAGAACUGCCUUUGAUACUGAAGAUCUUGAGUUCGGGAGAGGUGAGUGGAACUGCGAGUGUAGAGGUGAAAUUCGUAGAUAUUCGCAAGAACACCCGUGGCGAAGGCGGCUCUCUGGGACGGUACUGACGCUGAGACGCGAAAGCGUGGGGAGCGAACAGG
rnacentral:rRNA from 1 species